rnacentral:rRNA from 1 species
CAGUCGCCACGGGAAUACGUAGGUAGCAAGCGUUGUCCGGAAUUAUUGGGCGUAAAGGGCUCGCAGGCGGUUUCUUAAGUCUGAUGUGAAAGCCCCCGGCUCAACCGGGGAGGGUCAUUGGAAACUGGGAAACUUGAGUGCAGAAGAGGAGAGUGGAAUUCCACGUGUAGCGGUGAAAUGCGUAGAGAUGUGGAGGAACACCAGUGGCGAAGGCGACUCUCUGGUCUGUAACUGACGCUGAGGAGCGAAAGCGUGGGGAGCGAACAGGAUUAGAGACCCGAGUAGUCCCUGUCUCUUAUAC